rfam:Nosema bombycis CQ1 unplaced genomic scaffold NBO_644, whole genome shotgun sequence.
GGCGCUGUAGCAAAGUGGUUAAUGCGGUAGACUGCUAAUCUAUUUCCCUAGUGGUUCGCGAGUUCGAAUCUCGCCGGCGUCG